CAGGAUCCUGCAGUCCUGCUGACUCUGCAGGAGCCCUGGAACCCAGUCUUUAUGCUAUUGGAAUUGCUGCUGAGACUUCUGGAACCUGCAGUCAUUUGUUUCUGCUGUUAAGGCUGCCAUAACCAUGCAGCAAACACAGUGCCUGGCAGUCAUCUGCAGUCACCACUGUCACCGUAGCUGCAGCUGCUGCCUUCAGAACCCAUGAGCCCAUGUUCCUGAGGCCUUUGGGAUUCUACUCAAGCCACUUCCAGAAACAGAAGCAAAGGAAGACAUCCACAACAGGUAUGUGAAUGGGCUGAUUUGCUACUAAACACCAUGAGCACCCCUGAAGGAUGGAGCCUAAGAACAUGGUUGGCCUCCUUCAACAUUUUGCCUUUUUCUGGAGGCGCUGCUCUGGAACCCACGUGAACAGGGUUGGUCUUUCUGCUUGGCCCAAGUCAUUGACCAUGGCAGCUUUGCAUGGGAGAAUCAGCCACAGUGAUGUGACGACACUGAAGCAGACCUGGAAGAGUGCCAUGUGAAGAACAAGUUCCUGAUAAAAGCCAUCACCGACUUGGUAUUCCUGUGAGUAAGCCACCUGGGAAGUGGAUCCUUAGCUUCCGUUAGCAUAAGAUAACCCAGCUGUGACCAAUGCCUGACAGCAACCUCAUGAGAGAACCUGAGCCAGAAAUACUCAGUCAAGCUGCUCCCAAAUCACUAACCAUUGAAACUGUGAGAUAGCACAGUGUUCACUGUUAUGUUAAUUAGUGACAUUUGGGAGCCAUCUGUUAAAUAGCAAUAGAUAACUAAUAAAGCUGUGGACCAACCCAUAUUACCAAGACUUCUGGAAGCUUUUGUGCUUCUUUUCACUUCCUUAAUCUCCUUGAGUCUUCACUAUGAGUCUCUAAGCUCUUUCCCCACC